GCCUAGCCCUAAACACAAAUAGUUGUGUAAACAAAACUAUUCGCCAGAGUACUACCGGCAAUAGCUUAAAACUCAAAGGACUUGGCGGUGCUUUAUACCCUUCUAGAGGAGCCUGUUCUAUAAUCGAUAAACCCCGAUAAACCUCACCAUUCCUUGCUAAUACAGUCUAUAUACCGCCACCUUCAGCAAACCCUAAAAAGGUACAAAAGUAAGCACAAUCAUAAUACAUAAAAACGUUAGGUCAAGGUGUAACCUAUGGAAUGGGAAGAAAUGGGCUACAUUUUCUAACCUAAGAAAAUCUAAUACGAAAGUUAUUAUGAAACCAGUAACCAAAGGAGGAUUUAGCAGUAAACUAAGAAUAGAGUGCUUAGUUGAAUUAGGCCAUGAAGCACGC
rnacentral:rRNA from 1 species